CCUACGAGUGGCAGCAGUGAGGAAUAUUGGUCAAUGGGCGCGAGCCUGAACCAGCCAAGUAGCGUGAAGGAUGACUGCCCUACGGGUUGUAAACUUCUUUUAUAAAGGAAUAAAGUGAGGCACGUGUGCCUUUUUGUAUGUACUUUAUGAAUAAGGAUCGGCUAACUCCGUGCCAGCAGCCGCGGUAAUACGGAGGGUCCGAGCGUUAUCCUGAUUUAUUGGGUUUAAAGGGAGCGUAGAUGGGUUGUUAAGUCAGUGGUGAAAGUUUGCGGCUCAACCGUAAAAUUGCAAUUGAUACUGGCAGUCUUGAGUACAGUUGAGGUAGGCGGAAUUCGUGGUGUAGCGGUGAAAUGCUUAGAUAGCACGAAGAACUCCGAUUGCGAAGGCAGCUUACUAAACUGCCACUGACAUUGAUGCUCGAAAGUGUGGGUAUCAAACAGGAUUAGAUACCCUAGUAGUC
rnacentral:rRNA from 1 species